GACGAACGCUGGCGGCGUGCUUAAUACAUGCAAGUCGAACGAGUGGCGAACGGGUGAGUAACACGUGGGUGAUCUGCCUUGCACUUCGGGAUAAGCUUGGGAAACUGGGUCUAAUACCGGAUAUUGCAAGAUGGGCUCGCGGCCAAUCAGCUUGUUGGUGGGGUAAAGGGUACCAAGGCGCGACGGGUGGCCGGCCUGAGAGGGUGUACGGCCACAGUGGGACUUGGAAUCGGCCCAGACUCCUACGGGGGGAAGGAGUGGGGAAUAUUGCACAAUGGGCGGAAGCCUGAUGGAGCGACGCCGGGUGGGGGAUGAAGGCCUUCGGGUUGUAAACUCCUUACGACAGGGACGCGGUACCUGUAUAGGAAGCACCGGCUAACUACGUGCCAGCAGCCGCGGUAAUUC
rnacentral:rRNA from 1 species